UACGUAGGGUGCAAGCGUUAAUCGGAAUUACUGGGCGUAAAGCGUGCGCAGGCGGUGAUGUAAGACAGGUGUGAAAUCCCCGGGCUUAACCUGGGAACUGCGCUUGUAACUGAGAGGCUAGAGUGUGGCAGAGGGGGGUGGAAUUCCACGUGUAGCAGUGAAAUGCGUAGAGAUGUGGAGGAACACCGAUGGCGAAGGCAGCCCCCUGGGCUAACACUGACGCUCAUGCACGAAAGCGUGGGGAGCAAACAGG
rnacentral:rRNA from 1 species